rnacentral:rRNA from 1 species
UGGGCAACCUGCCCUGUACUGGGGAAUAAUCAUUGGAAACGAUGACUAAUACCGCAUGUGGUCCUCGGAAGGCAUCUUCUGAGGAAGAAAGGAUUUAUUCGGUACAGGAUGGGCCCGCAUCUGAUUAGCUAGUUGGUGAGAUAGCAGCCCACCAAGGCGACGAUCAGUAGCCGACCUGAGAGGGUGAUCGGCCACAUUGGGACUGAGACACGGCCCAA